rnacentral:rRNA from 1 species
UACGGGGGGGGCAAGCGUUGUUCGGAAUUACUGGGCGUAAAGGGCUCGUAGGCGGCCAACUAAGUCAGACGUGAAAUCCCUCGGCUUAACCGGGGAACUGCGUCUGAUACUGGAUGGCUUGAGUUCGGGAGAGGGAUGCGGAAUUCCUGGUGUAGCGGUGAAAUGCGCAGAUAUCAGGAGGAACACCGGUGGCGAAGGCGGGUCUCUGGGCAACAACUGACGCUGAGGAGCGAAAGCGUGGGGAGCGAACAGG